GAUGAACGCUAGCUACAGGCUUAACACAUGCAAGUCGCAGGGUAACAUGAGGAAAGCUUGCUUUCCUUGAUGACGACUGGCGCACGGGUGAGUAACGCGUAUCCAACCUUCCCAUAACUACGGGAUAACCCGUUGAAAGACGGCCUAAUACCGUAUGACAUCGUUUGCUGACAUCAAAUAACGAUUAAAGGUUUAGCGGUUAUGGAUGGGGAUGCGUCUGAUUAGCUUGUUGGCGGGGUAACGGCCCACCAAGGCGACGAUCAGUAGGGGUUCUGAGAGGAAGGUCCCCCACAUUGGAACUGAGACACGGUCCAAACUCCUACGGGAGGCAGCAGUGAGGAAUAUUGGUCAAUGGGCGAGAGCCUGAACCAGCCAAGUAGCGUGCAGGACGACGGCCCUAUGGGUUGUAAACUGCUUUUAUGUGGGGAUAAAGUGCGUGACGUGUCAUGCAUUGCAGGUACCACAUGAAUAAGGACCGGCUAAUUCCGUGCCAGCAGCCGCGGUAAUACGGAAGGUCCGGGCGUUAUCCGGAUUUAUUGGGUUUAAAGGGAGCGUAGGCUGUCUAUUAAGCGUGUUGUGAAAUAUACCGGCUCAACCGGUGGCUUGCAGCGCGAACUGGUCGACUUGAGUAUGCAGGAAGUAGGCGGAAUUCAUGGUGUAGCGGUGAAAUGCUUAGAUAUCAUGACGAACUCCGAUUGCGCAGGCAGCUUACUGUAGCAUAACUGACGCUGAUGCUCGAAAGUGCGGGUAUCAAACAGG
rnacentral:rRNA from 1 species